rnacentral:rRNA from 1 species
UACAGAGGGGGCAAGCGUUGUUCGGAAUUACUGGGCGUAAAGGGCGCGUAGGCGGCCUGCUAAGUCGAACGUGAAAUCCCCGGGCUCAACCCGGGAACUGCGUCCGAUACUGGUUGGCUUGAAUCCGGGAGAGGGAUGCGGAAUUCCAGGUGUAGCGGUGAAAUGCGUAGAUAUCGGGAGGAACACCAGUGGCGAAGGCGACUACCUGGACCAGCACUGACACUGAGGCACGAAAGCGUGGGGAGCAAACAGG